UUUCUUUAUUAAUUAAAGUAAUUCUAGAUCUUGUUUCUAUUAAUAGCGCACAACGCUUUUCUUCAACUUUACAAGUUACCACAAGAUCUGCAAAAAUAUCGGGUUUAUUAAAUAUUAUUUAUUAUUUGGUCUAUGUAUUAAUUAGUUUAAUUAAAGCGAGAAGUGUGGAUUUCUCGUUUUUAUCUAUUUUUCUCUCUUCGCUUUUAUCUAUCUGACACUGAAUCGGCUGAUAUGAAUUCAAAACCCUCUCGCUUUAAGCGCGGGGUAAGAGAUCCCGUUUUUUUGAAAUUUCUGUCUAUUUUCCCUAUAAAAUUCAACUCUUUCAUUUUGUCUAAAGGGAAAAAGAGCCUUAUGAUCCUGCGAAAUGACCCUCAUAUUUGUCAUUAUAACAAAUAUUCCUGGCUAUUACAGGCUGUAAAGAUUCGGUCCUAUGAGCGUUAUAAUUGUUAACACGCAGCUGUUCUCUAAGGCUAAGUCCUAAGUGCCAGCGUGAGCGUGCGUGCGUAGCCUGUACGCGCUACAUUCCGCCUACCAUCAGGUGUCCAACGUGCCAACAUUUUUUUGAUAUGAACAGACGGCGUCAAAGCGAAAACUUCGUUUGCUACCUGCGAUGGAAAAUAGCCUACUACGUUACAGAUACGAAAUGCAUCAAAACAGAAAUGCAAAUCAUGAUAUUUUUAAAAAUUGGUAUAAAUCGGUAGAAUUUCAUUAUUUGUAUCAUGAAAUGAGAUCGAAAGGGGGACGUUAAGCAGCAAGUGAGAGGUAGGGGGCAUCGCGAGUCAUGCUCCUACCGCCUACUUGCUACUUGAUGUCUCCUUUAAUGACCCAGUCGUUCCCCAAGAAGAGAUAUCACUUACUUUGAGGCUCUAAAGGAUAUUUAAAGGAUAUUAACGGUUUGUUUUGAUAAGCCAUUGUUUCUCGAUUAAUACGUGACCCUAUAAUACAUUUUCGGAAAAGUUCUAACCGUCGUGCUAUUUUUUACAGCGAAUCUGUAGUCAGCAUAAAACCCAAUGUGCUAACACUCAGGCGAUUCAAAUCUAAUUCUAUUUGAUCGGGCUCCCGAUAACUUCUUUCUAUUAUAAUUCAUGCUGUUACGAUAUCUAUAAGAUGGCGGAUUGCAAAAUCUAUUUUCAGGAUUCGGUGGCACUUCUUGAAACGGAUUAGUUUGAUAUGUAGAUAAAAGAAUUGCAUUAUCCCCAGCGGAGAAAGGCAUGCCAAUUUUUUAUUUUGAUUUAAAAUAUUACAAAUAAUAUUUGUCUGCGAAUUUAUUAUUUUCUCCAUUAUAUUUUCGAUCGCCUGAUGAUUUAUUUACCUGUAUGAAGUUGAUCCCCCAGUUCUGAAUUUGUAAACUUUUUCUUUUGCACUCGUUUGCACCUCGUUAACACCUUUUGCACUUUUAAUAUUUUCGUUUGCACUCUCACCGUUUGGCCCCCAGAG
rnacentral:lncRNA from 1 species